GGGGGUGUCAUGGUUUCGACAGGAUCAUUGAAUCAGGAUAAGCGAGCCGCAGUUGGUCCGGCUGCGUUAAAAAGGACCCGUUAAAUACAAACGCUAAAAAUAACAAUUCUUUCGCACUGGCUGCUUAGUUCAGCCCCGCGCGUCGGCCUGAGUUCACCUGCAGGCUCAUGAUCCGGCGUCGACAUGCAGGAAACCCUUGCGUGAGUUCCCGGUAGCGUAAGGGGCCAACGGGAUAACGGAUCGGCAGGCCGCCUCUCGCCUCGCCGCUAAGCGAAAAUUCCAACUGAGGAUGCGCUCGGAGAAAUUCCUGUGGAUGUGGUUUUGGACGCGGGUCCGACUCCCGCCACCUCCACCA
rnacentral:tmRNA from 1 species